rnacentral:misc_RNA from 1 species
AACGCACAUUGCACUCUCUGGUAUUCCGGAGAGUAUGCUUGUUUGAGUAUCAGUAAACACCUCAAAUCUCUUGUUUCUUGUGAAUAAGAGAAUUGGACUUGAGCAAUCCCAACUCUUGCAAAAGAGGCGGGUUGCUUGAAAUGCAGGUGCAGCUGGACAUUCUUCUGAGCUAAAAGCAUAUUUAUUUAGUCCCGUCAAACGGAUUAUUACUUUUGCUGCAGCUAACAUAAAGGUUGAAUGGCCAAUAUGGCUGACUGAUGCAGGAUUAACAGAGAAUUUAUUCUUUGUAAACUCGAUCUCAAAUCAAGUAAGACUACCCGCUGAACUUAA